GCUCUCCGGACCAUCUCUUUUAUGGGCUGCCGAGCAAAGGUCUUUCUCUUCUUCAAAACCCACUCUACGAGGAAAUCUCCAGAAACAUUCCAGCAGGCAAGACAAGGGCAUAAAGGCCAGGGGGUCCCCCAGCCUCAGGACAGCAAGUGUGGGGACGUGCCCUACUGCAUGCCCCAUCCCCUGAGCCAGGAACAAAGACCAGAGGUCAAGCCGGCAGCAGUUGAGGAAGAGGGUCAGGCGUGGCUGUGUGUCCCGAAUUGGUGGGUUCUUGGUCUCACUGACUUCAAGAAUGAAGCCGCGGACCCUUGCGGACUACCCAGGCAGGGGGAGCUGCCUUCACUCACCCUUUCCCACUACUGCUUCCAGAAACAUCUCCCCAUCACUACACUAGGGGCUUUGUAAGCACAGAUGUGGGACCCAUGAGUACUACAGAAGGAAGCAGAAGCUGCAAAGACCUUGAUGGAGUUUCCCUCUCGUUGCCCAAGCUGGAGUGCAAUGGCGCAAUCUCGGCUCACUGCAACCUCCACCUCCCAGGUUCAAGUGAUUCUCCUGCCUCAGCCUCCCUAGUAGCUGGGAUUACAGGCGUGCAGCACCACGCCUGGCUAAUUUUGUGUUUUUAGCAGAGAGGGGUUUCUCCAUGUUGGUCAGGCUGGUCUCGAACUCCCGACCUCAGGUGAUCUGCCCGCCUUGGCCUCCCAAAGUGCUGGGAUUACAGGCGUGAGCCACUGCACCCGGCCUGAUUCUGACCUUUUUAUUCCACACAUCUCAACUGUUGCUGAGCUGUUUCAUUCUAGGAGGCAAAGAGCUUUUCUGGUUGUUCCUGAGAUCACCAGCCUGAAUCUCCUUUCUUGAGCACCCAGCAGUUUCUUUUCCAAGAGUAUGGGAAUCUUGAAAGGGCAGCAGAUUCUUAGGCAUGGGCGGGGAGAGCUGCUAGAAGACAUCACUGUCAAAGAAUUGGCAAAGUCAAGAAUGUGCCAGCAUCCAAGGGUCAAAACGUCAGGUGGGACAUCCUGUUCCACAGCACGAUAGCCCCAGAGGGGGUGCCAAAAGGAUGACAGAAGCCUUGUGAGUGCCCAGGAAUCAAGUAGAGAUUAGGACCAACCCAUCAGAGUGCAAUUAAGCAAAAGGGGGAAUCAAUUUAAAGGUGCCAGAACAGGAACCAUGCAACCAGGCUUCAGGGGAAAGUAGGAACCAGGGUCCUGAACUUCAUUCAUCAGGGUCCUCUCUCUCUCUUUUUUAAGACAAGGUGACACUCUGUCACCCAGGCUGGAGUGCAGUGGCACGAUCUUGGCUCACUGCUGCCUCAGCCUCUCAGGUGUUCCUCACCUCAGCCUCCCUAGUAGCUGAGACUACAGGCACAUACCACUAGGCCCAGCUAAUUUUUGUUUGUAGAGACAGCAUUUUGCCAUGUUGCAUAGGCUGGCUUCAAACUCCUAGGCUCAAAUGAUCCAGCCACCUCAGGCCCCCAAAGUGUUAGGCUUACAGGUGUGAGCCAUCUGGCUGGAGGGACUUCUAUCUCUUAUCUCUUCUCUUCCUCCACCCACUUUCUCCUAUAUCCUCCCCCACCUCCAGGUUUCUCUGGCCCUUCCGACAGCAAGUAUCGCCAGGAGCAGCUCCCUAAUCUACAUACUACAGAUAUAUCCACAAGAAGACAGAUGGAACCACUCUUUUCUUCUGAAUUCUAGAGCCUUAAGGAAGUUAACCUGAGUGGCUCAGCUUGGAUCAAGUGCCCAUCCUGGUCCAAACAACUGUAGCAGCACAUCUGUGUAUUUGUGUAUCUUGUUCCUCCAUAAUCUUGCAGUCCGGGGAAAGUGUGCAGAUGGAUGGGUCCCUGAAAAGCAAGAGUUGUUUAGACAACGCUAGAGGUGUUCAGUUCUGGGAGACAAGAGUUGGGCCAGGUUGAUAACUAGCCUAAGAGAGUCGGAAUCAGAUGAAUAAGAACUAGAUCUUGGGUGACAACCUAGAUCAAGAGUCUCGAGGUUCAGUCAUUUCAAAAAGCUCAAGUCUCAUUGCUUCUUGGCCUUCUGGCUAAGAUCAUGUGCAGUAUCUGUUCUUACCAGUUUAAUAUCUGAUACAUCUUCUAUCUGAGGAUAAUAUAAUAAAUAGAUUUUUGGAGCAAGGAGAUGGAAUAGGAGCUUGCUCUGUCCACUCUACACAUUGGCCUGGAUUGCAGUACCUCCAGGAAUGGUGCACCCUCUCUACCACCCCCAAAAAGCCCAAGUCUCAAGAGGUAGUCUGGAAAAAAGUGUUUUUGGAUUUACCUACACUUUUUUUUCCAAGAUGGAGUCUCGCUCUGUCACCCAGGCUGGAGUGCAGUGGCGCCAUCUCAGCUCACUGUAACCUCUACCUCCAGGAUUCAAGCAGUUCUCCUGCCUCAGUCUCCCAAGUAGCUGGGAUUACAGGUGUGUGCCAACCAUGCUCAGCUAAUUUUUGUAUUUUUAGUAGAGACAGGGUUUCACCAUGUUGGCCAGGCAGGUCUCGAAGUCCUGACCUCAGGUGAUCUUCCUGCCUUGGCCUCCCAAAGUGCUAAGAUUACAGGCGUGAGCCACUGCACCCAGCCUAAUUUUUGUAAUUUUAGUAGAGACGAGUUUUCACCAUGUUGACCAGGCUGGUCUCGAACUCCUGACCUCAGGUGAUCCACCCCCGCCCUUGGCCUCCCAAAGUGCUGGCACUACAGGCAUGAGCCACCGCUCCUGGCCGGGUUUGCCUACAUUUUGGAGAUGCUGCACACCACGUCCCUCUUUUCAAGAGUCACAUAAGUAUUUACAUAUGGAAGACCCUGAGAAGGCACCUGGGAAAAAACCUGUUUAACUGUAAAUAUAAUAAUGUAUGUAUUUGUAUGUGGAGCUCUUCUUUUAGUGGAUUAUCUAUAAACCGUCCACUGUUCCCAAUGCAUACUUUGGAGACAGACCUACACUACCAGUUUUCACCUGCUAGUUAUUUUUAUAAGGGUUGGGAUGGUCCAUGAGUGAACAGUCUUGAUUUAAAGCAGUGUUUCCCAAACCUCAUUUAUUUGCCUAUAACCUUCCUGGAGUUUGUCUUAUAUGUGCGCUCUGUGCACUAUUCAUAUAUGUUUUUAUGUAAAUCAAUCACUUUUUUAAAAAGCCUCAUCCCAGUUAUAUCCUUAAAACAAUGGUUAUUUUUUCUCAUACAUAUGGAAAUACAUAUCUAUUAGAAUUAAAAUGCUUGUCCAUGCACUA